rnacentral:rRNA from 1 species
UCGGGAAUUUUGGGCUAUGGGCGAAAGCCUGACCCAGCAACGCCGCGUGAGGGAUGAAGUAUUUCGGUAUGUAAACCUCGAAAGAAUGGGAAGAAUAAAUGACGGUACCAUUUAUAAGCUCCGGCUAACUACGUGCCAGCAGCCGCGGUAAUACGUAGGGAGCAAGCGUUGUUCGGAUUUACUGGGCGUAAAGGGCGCGUAGGCGGCGCGGUAAGUCACUUGUGAAAUCUCUGAGCUUAACUCAGAACGGCCAAGUGAUACUGCUGUGCUAGAGUGCGGAAGAGGCAACCGGAAUUCUUGGUGUAGCGGUGAAAUGCGUAGGUAUCAAGAGGAACACCUGAGGCGAAGGCGGGUUGCUGGGCCGACACUGACGCUGAUGCGCGAAAGCCAGGGGAGCAAAC